rnacentral:lncRNA from 1 species
GCUCCAUGUCAUGACUAAAACUGUUGUCUUAGCAGCCGUAACUACUAACUUAGCCUCCUUCUUUGCAACUCUGUAAACCUCCCUAUUCACCCGCUUCUCCUCUUCAUCUUUACUCUCAAUCAACAUGACAUACACCCCCUUCUUAAUAUCCACUUUCUUUUUAACUUUUUCAUUCCACCACCAGUCCCCCUUAUGCCUUCCUGCCUGCCCCCUCGAAACACCCAACACUUCUCUAGCAGUCUCCGUAAUGCAGCUGGUAGCCUUAUCCCAUCUAAUAUCCACGUCCCCCUUAUA